AGGGAAGCACAGGACUGAAGAGCUUGGGCUGCCAGGCUCCUAGGACGUGGGCAGAUACAAUGAACCAUUGAUUGCUAAAAGGCACAAGUGUGCAUAUUUGUGCAGGCAGAGCAAACGGGCAACCGCGAAGUCCAACACAUUGUUUUUGUUGCUGUGUGUUUGUUUUUGAGACUGUACAGUGAGCUGUCUUUCUAGGCCCCAAAUCCUAAAAGCAGAACACAACCUGUAGCUGACCGGUGGAUGUGGUAGUAGAUGCCAGAAGCCAGAAGUUGGGAGGAGGAAGCAAGAGACCACGAGUUCAUGAUCAUCCUCGGCUACACAUGGAGUUGGAGGCCCGCCUGGGACAGAUACCUGAGACCCUGUUUCAACAACAAACCAACAAAAAUGUAAAGUUGAAAGGAAAAGAGCAAGUGACAAGGGACACAUGUCAUCACAGAUCUGUAAUUUACUUUGAGAUGAGUCCAAAGCAGCACACUGGACAGACAGAGGAAGAACUGACAGGACAUCAUUGAGGCUCUCCAAUCAAGCUGUGCUGGAAGAUCUCCCCGCGGGCUUCUCACAUCUUAAAAAAAAACAAAACAUUACUUUCUGUGUAUUUACAUGUCCCCUGCUUGAUCUCUUCCCGAGGAGUACAGGCCAGUCCACAGUAGGACGGACGUGAGAUGGCAGCCUUCCGGUCCCUCUUCAGAACACUGAAGGGCUCUUCCAACCAUCACCCACCAGUUGAUUUCCCGCCUUAAAACCAUUUCCUUUUCCAACUCGUACAGACUCUGAUCAGGGAAGGCAACACUAACAACGUGAGAUCAGGAGGGCCAAGGUGAACACAGACUGUGGAAGAGGGAGGCAAGACUGAUUUCCACAGAAAGUCCUUCGCCAGGAUCGAAACUCUGCAAACCUGGCUGCAUGGUCUCAUCUCCAGUGCAUUCCAGAGUCUGCAGCAUGUCCUUCCAGGCCUGCUCUCUGAAGACACCAAGACAUGGGUAAAAAGCAGCCUUGACAGAAAUUCCCACGAUAAACAUGUGUAGAUCCAUCUCCACUUGCCUGCCCCAAACUGAGUUUACUCUUUUCUCAACCUGAACCCAGCUCCCCUCCCCCAUUUUGGCUGUCAUGUGCUGGUAUUUGCCUCCUUUCAAGCAAGGCCCCUAAUGACAUGAGCGGACAGUUCAUACCGCUUGUCACAUACCUUUCUUUAAUCCUCCCAAUGGCCCUGGGGAGACAGGUACUCAAACAUCACCCUCCUCAUCUAACAGAUCAGAAAACCAAGGCUCAUGGAGUUGAUGCAAUCUCCCCAGGGCCCCAGGGCUAGCAAGAGUAGGAGAGGAGACACAGGCCGCUUGUCUGAUCCCAGAACCUUGUCUUCCACCAGGGCACCGGCACAGCCUCAGAUGGCCUCUUCCUCAGAUACUGGACUCAUUUCUAGUCUUCCAAUCCAGGACUGUGCUGCCUAGUUUUAUAGAGACUUGACCCAAACUAGAUUUAUCUGAUAAUGGGAAAAAAACAAACAAAACAAACAAACAAACAAACAAACAAACAAAAAACCUCCAUAAGAUUGGCCUGUAGAUAAAUAUGUGGGAAGGCCCAGACUAUCGUGGUGGCACCAUCCCUGGGCAGUGGUUUCUGGGUUCUAUAAGAAAGCAGGUUGAUUAGUCCUAGCACU